rnacentral:lncRNA from 1 species
GCCCCAAAAAUGAAAACUCAAUAAAACAAGUGAGGAUAAAUAACAAACUUAACAUAAUUAAGGAUUUAUGGCAAGAUGGUAGUGAAAUGUAGUUUAAAGAUUAGAUUUGUAAUUAGCAACUAAGUGAAGGGGGUAAAGUGCAAAGUGGUUAAACUUAAAUUAGUUAAAAAAAAAAAAACAAACUAAACCCCAAACACAGUGAGUGUGUCUGGGGGAACGAUCGAACAAGGAAGGAGGAGGGGGAAACCCUAAACUCAAGAAAUCAGGCAAUUGAAGCCUAAAAUCAUAAGAAAAUCCAGUGCAUGAGCCAUCUUAUCGAUCAUCUAAGCAUACCUAGUGAAGUGCUUGAAAGAAUAAGAACCAUGUCAAGAUGGACCAACUCAUGGGAAGCAAACGGGUCAAAGAGGAGGCAAAGAAACUAGCAUAAACAUGACGAGCACAAGGUAAAUCCUCAAUUCAGGCGACUUGGAGAAUCGGAGCGAGCGCGUGUUCAUGUUAUGUCAUACCAAACGCUUCCGCUAGCUUGUUCAAAUGUUUUUAGUCCAAAAUUUGUUGUAUUGGUUCUUAGUAGUAUUUUGUCGAAUGAAUCGUAGAAUUGUAUCUAGUUUGAUUAUGUUUAAAACAGGGGAAUGCUCGUUUUAUGGACGGGUCAUGCCCAAUUUUUGUUAAAUUAAUGCACCUGCGUUAUUGAU